CGGACUCUUAUCGGCCUGAACUGGUCGCUGGUGAGGACCCCCAGAAGGGCAAAAACAAUCUGCUCGCCCAUCGGUAAUUUUCCAUCAACUUGGUCAAAGGCGUGGCCUACAGAGGGGGCCAAACACCAUUUAAAGUACGGUACUUUUGACCGCACGAAAGUGAAAGUAAACCGUUAGCUUGUUAAUUAAUUAGGAUUAGGAAGUUAUAUGAUAUUCUUUUUAGUUUAAAAUCAGAAUUCUGUGUAUAAAGUUCUGAGAAUGAGAAUGAAGUGAGAGUUCUGAGAAAAAAGUCUGAAUUCUGAGAUUUAAGUCAGAAUUCGGACUUUAAACUCAGAAUGUCACAUCAAAUAUGGCCAUAAUCCUCUCGAACAAGCAACAACUCGCUUACAUCCGAUUUCCUCAGUCAGCUCGUGGUUCCUGUCCUGUAUGUCGCCUGCACUCUAGGAUUGUCAUCUUACUCUGCCAAAAAUAAACAACGGGCCUGUCACCAUCCCCCGUAUCACCUCCCACCGGCUCCAGCCCAUCAGCCCCCCCCCCCCCCCCCCCGACACAGCAGGGGCCUGGACAUCUCACAGCUGCCCACGACAGUGGCCCUGAAUUCCCCUACCACAAUGACGACCCCCAUCAACGUGGAGAGGGACGUUAACAGACUCUUCAAGAGACAGAACCCCCACAGGGCAGCCAGUUCAGACUCGUCUCUCCAACCGCCCGAAGCACUUCGCCCAUCAGCUGUCGCAGACGUCUUCAUCAUCUCACUGGAGACAUGCAAGGAACCAGCAUACUGCAAAAAACACCAUCCCCCAUAAUACCAAGCACCACAGGGUAUAACGUCUACAGGCACGUCUCCCUGACCUGUGGUAAUUAGCCAUAUGAGCACCUUGUGUUGUCCCAAAUCAUAAUCUUCCGGAUGCUCUCCUGGACCCCCUGCAGUUUGGCUACAUAGACAACAUGUAGACCGGCAGUAAGCAUGGCCCUACACUGAAUCCUCCUGCACCUGGUCUCCGCAGGAACCUACACCUGGGGCCUUUUUGUGGAUUCUAGCUCGGCCUUCACCACCAUCAAUCCGGCUCUGCUAUGGGAUAAGCUCUGAGCGUGCCCGACUCCACCUGCAGAUGGACCAUUGACUUCCUGUAUGACCGGAAGCCUCACGUGAAGCUGGGAAACACGUCUCUGACUCCCGGACCAUCAGCGCAGAUUCACCUCAAGGCUUUACUCUUUCCCUUCUGCUCUUCUCACUGUGUACCAACAGCUGCACCUCCAGUCACCAGUCUGUCAACCUCCUGAAGGUCGUGGCAACACCGCCCUCAUUGGCUCGUCUCUGCUGGAGAUGAGUUUGCCUGCAUUGGGAGAUUUACCAUCCGGUUACCUGGUGCGGACUGAACAACCUGGAGCUCAACACCCUGAAGACAGUGUAGAUGGUUGUGGACUUCAGGAAGAAUCCAGCCCCACUCGCCCCAAUCCCCCUUUGUGUCUCCCAAGUCAUCCCCUUCGAGUCCCUCUGUUUCCUCUGUCAGCUGAACCUCAGCUCUCUCACCAAAAAUAAAUAAAAACAGGAUGUACCUCCUAGUGCAUCUGAGGAUGUUCAACCUGCCUUAGACGAUGACGGUACACUUCUGCACCUCCUCCAUCACCAUCUGGUAAGCUGCUGCCACGGCCAAUGACAAGGGGUUAGUGUCAUUCGACCGGCAGAGAAGGUGAUUGGUUGCAAUCUGCCAGCUCUCCAGGACCCUGAGGCGAGCAGGAAAGAAUGUGGCUGAUCCCUCCCACCCCAGACACUAACAGUUUAGAACACUUCCCUCGGGCAGGGGGCUCCAUCUGGACCAAAAUCGAAUGCCACCAGUAACCUUUCUUCCUGUCUACUGUCGGCCUCCUCAUCAAGGCCCGGAACCCCCAUAGACUCCCACCCCAGCUCCAUAGACCCUACACAUUACAUCAACGUAAAGUUUCCACACCUAAGCGUCACAUUAACGCAUAGAUCACUGGACCAUAGUCCUUGGGCAUAACACAUAUUGUGUACUUUAUUCUGUGAACCGCUGCACAUUCCAUGGUCCAUACUUGCACAAACUGCUAAUUGUUAUUAACAUUUAGAUUUAGCAUACGCUUUUAUCAAAAGCGACUAACAAUAAGUAAAUUUUUUCAGAAGUUAGAGAAACAACAAUUUAACGCUGUCGGUACAGUAGGGAAGUUCAUAGAUUAAGUGCCAAGCAUUUACAAUUGCUAGGUUGACCCAUUCCCUUUUUUCCCACAAAGAUGGCUCGGGAAAUAUGCUACUCAAUGCUAAUUUAAAGUAACAGGACAUAAGUUAAGUGACAGGACGUACAAAUGUACAAUAAGUGCGAAAGAGUUAUUUUUUUUAGGAUUAAGGCAGGAGGAAAGGCGGUUGGGGAUGAAGAGGGAGGCUAUGCAGCGUCCAGGUGAACUCUGAACAGGUGAGUUUUAAGUCUCUUGUGAAAGCUGGUGAGCGACUGCACUCCUGACAUCGGCAGGGGGCUCGUUCAACUAUUGCGUUGCCAGAACAGAGAAUAAGUUUGACUUUGUUGUGCAACCUUUGCUUGCUCUUAGCGAUGGCAGUGCAAGACGUCCAGCUGAGGUAAUUGAGCGGAGCGCACAAGUGGUGUGUGGUCUGACUUAGACUUGGAGGUAGGCAGGGGCAUUUCCAGUUCACCCUUGUAUGCCAGCAACAUUGUCAUGAAUCUU